UUUCCGUAGGUGAACCUGCGGAAGGAUCAUUAAAGAGAUUAUGCCCUUCGGGGUAGAUCUCCCACCCUUUGUUUAUAUUACCUUUGUUGCUUUGGCAGGCCCGUCUUCGGACCACCGGCUUCGGCUGGUCAGUGCUUGCCAGAGGACCCAAAACUCUUAUUAUUAAUGUCGUCUGAGUACUAUAUAAUAGUUGAAACUUUCAACAACGGAUCUCUUGGUUCUG
rnacentral:misc_RNA from 1 species